UUGAUUGGACAGUAACGUUUAUCUUUGGGUUAACGUUUUGUAGAUAUAUCCUGGGUGCCUUCAUCUUUUUAAUGACUGAAGAGGAGUGGUGGCUAUAUUUCUAGAAUUGUGAACUCGGACAAAGAACUGGGAAUCCUGCUGGAAAACCACAAGAGAGCCACACUCCUUUCAACAAGUGGUUUGACAACUUGAAAGACUAGCAAACUGAGACAGCUUUGGCAAGUGGAGGACUACUAUGAAGAUACUCCCAUUUGUUUUACAAAGAGAGUCUUCUGACCUGUAGAGAGUCGUCUGACCUUGUAGAAGACCUUCUACAGCUAAGCAGGAGCAUUCUCUGGAGCAUGUACAUACCAAAAAGAGGUUCCAUGGCCAGAAAGGGAAGACAUUAGACUGUCCAGUGAAACAGUUUAUUCCACAUGUGAAGAGCCCAAGAAUGUGAAUCUGAUCCUCUCCAAACUGUGCUGAAAUCUUUGUCAGAUGGGUGAAAUGCUGCAGCAGCAUGAGAAAGAGACAUGGACAUGCUUACACGCACACAAAAAGUUAAAUCUUCAUGCAGGCAGGGUAUGAAAAAUAGGAGGUCUUGGGGGGGGGUAUCAAACAAGC